rnacentral:rRNA from 1 species
AGAGUUUGAUCCUGGCUCAGAUUGAACGCUGGCGGCAUGCCUUACACAUGCAAGUCGAACGGCAGCACGGGAGCAAUCCUGGUGGCGAGUGGCGAACGGGUGAGUAAUAUAUCGGAACGUGCCCAGUCGUGGGGGAUAACGCAGCGAAAGCUGUGCUAAUACCGCAUACGAUCUCUGGAUGAAAGCGGGGGACUCGCAAGRGCCUCGCGCGAUUGGAGCGGCCGAUAUCAGAUUAGCUAGUUGGUGGGGUAAAAGCCCACCAAGGCGACGAUCUGUAGCUGGUCUGAGAGGACGACCAGCCACACUGGAACUGAGACACGGUCCAGACUCCUACGGGAGGCAGCAGUGGGGAAUUUUGGACAAUGGGCGCAAGCCUGAUCCAGCAAUGCCGCGUGCAGGAUGAAGGCCUUCGGGUUGUAAACUGCUUUUGUACGGAACGAAACGGUCUGYYCUAAUAMRGUGGGCUAAUGACGGUACCGUAAGAAUAAGCACCGGCUAACUACGUGCCAGCAGCCGCGGUAAUACGUAGGGUGCGAGCGUUAAUCGGAAUUACUGGGCGUAAAGCGUGCGCAGGCGGUUAUAUAAGACAGAUGUGAAAUCCCCGGGCUCAACCUGGGACCUGCAUUUGUGACUGUAUAGCUAGAGUACGGUAGAGGGGGAUGGAAUUCCGCGUGUAGCAGUGAAAUGCGUAGAUAUGCGGAGGAACACCGAUGGCGAAGGCAAUCCCCUGGACCUGUACUGACGCUCAUGCACGAAAGCGUGGGGAGCAAACAGGAUUAGAUACCCUGGUAGUCC